UUGCAACAGCAGACAGAAACGUUUUACGACAGCGGUGUAACGCAUGACAGAGGCAGGUUUUUUUAUUUUUUUAUUUUUCAGACACCAGGACCAAUUAGUCUGUGUAUUUUACUUACCAUUUAAAUGAAGUAAUUCCCCCUGUUCAGUGUGUGAUUUUAUUAACUCUUAUUUGCAAUAACUGAAUUUACGAAGCAAGAAUGUGAAAACAAAAGCAAGGAAUACUUUACAAACUAAGGAAGAUUAGGAUAAAAAGAUGAUAUGUCGUGAAUAUUUAUACUUUUACUUUGAUGUAUAGUAAUUUUUUAUUCCCCCUCAACAUAUUCCUCUACUUAAAACCCUAGCAAAAAUUGUUAAAUCACAAUCAUGAGGUCUGUUUCUCUAUUUACAGGAUUUUACUCAGCAAAAUAGUUAAAUUAUUGACAAAAGGAGAUGAUCCGUUCUGUUUAAAGAUAGUUGUAUGCACUGCUCUUAUAGAUCUUCUUUUAAAACUUUCACACAAUCAGAGUUUGAAUUUAUAUCCUUGUAUAUAUUGGACAACUUUAAAUUGUGAAAUUGCCUCAACAAUAAAGGUUUAAAAUGUGAUUUAGGAAGCUGUUGUAGGUAUACUGAAAGGCUCACAGCCCUGUUGAUUUGCUUUCUCACCAGCAGAGGACGACAUGUUUUUUUUAUUUUAUUUUCCUUUGCAACAACACCACUGCAGUUUCUCCAGUAGAUGUCGCCAGGAGAUCAGCUCCUUUGGCCUUAUCAGUUAGCUGGGUAGUCCUCAUCCUUGAGAGCACAGUUUGUUCCGAGUCGUUCCUCCACAUGCACGUGUCAAUCAGAACAAGCACUGGACACAUAACUAUUAUGAAAAAUAAAUCCAGGAUAAAAGCAGAGUAUUUUCCACUCAAGUGCACCUAAAUGAAAAGCAAACUUGUAAGAACAUGUGUUUUGUGUGUAGUAGUAUUGGAUAUACAUUUCCUUUGUGUCUGUGAUAAAAUCAGCCAUUAUUGAUGCCCAGAGGAGAAAUUCAGGUGUUGCAGCAGCACAAGGGAAGAAAUAAAUACAGUAAAAAGAGAAGUGUCAAACACACAAUUAGAAGGAUAGAAAAAUAAAAUAAGAAUAGACUUUUUUUUUUUUUUUAAAUAAGAACAAUAAAACUUAAAUCUUUCAUUCUGACAGACACUUAAUUCAAUUCAAUUCAAUUUUAUUUGUAUAGCACCAAUUCAUAACAGAAGUUAUCUCAGGACACUUUUCAAAUAGAGCAGGUCGAGACCAAACUCCUUAUAACAUUAAUUACAGAGACCCAACAGUACCACCAUGAGCAAGACCUUGGCGACAAGGGCAAGGAAAAACUGCCUGUUAAAAGGCAGAAACCUAGGACAGAUCCUUCGGCUCUAGGUGGGUGGUCGUCAGUCUCGACUUACUCAUUAUGUGUAGUAUGUUGGGAAGCAGGAAGAUCUAUUCUAGGAAUAAGUCAUUUAUUAUCAAUUUAAUUGUCCAUUAACAUUGAACAGUUUUUAUUUAAGUUUGUUAACAGCAUUGUAGCCAAAGUCAGUUCUGGUGAGUUGUUGAUUUUCUAUUUUCAGAAAACUUUCCCCAGAACUCCACUUCACCAAUGUAAGACUCACAUUAAACUCAGUGCUGAUUCUCAUACAUAUGAAAACAGAAGAAGAAAGAGGUGUAAUUUUCUAUUUAGUUCUUAUUCAAUAAUGUAUAAGAGUUAAAAAAACUCUUUUCAGUGCUUAUUUACAGCAUAAAUAAAACAAACUAUCUAUGUUUCAGGGAUAUGUCUGUCUGUGUCUGUGUCCCAAUGGUGGAACAGUGUGAAUUAUAUCUCGCUGUAACGCUGGGAGCCUUCUUGUGAAUUAAAAGAAAUGUGAAAUGUCUGGUGAA